UGCUCUCUCAAAAUUUCUGUUUUAUUUUUUUUCUGCUAAUUUUUAUGCUAUUUUCCUUAUGAUUAGAGAAAUUGGGUUUCAAUCACUCAAUUUUCACUCGAUUUUCUUAGUAUAUGGGUUUGAAACAAUUUUGUAAUAGGCCGGACUAAUUGAUACUGCUGCUCUUUUGAAUUUAAAUCAGAGAAAUAAUGAAAAACUCAUAGGGAAAUUAGGAAUAGAGUGGGAGAUAUAAAGCUCUGUGAUGCUAUACAUAAGAAUGAAGACUUGUUUCAUGCACUUGUUCUUAGACGCAAACCAAAUUAAUUGUAAUGACUAAGAUUCCUCAUUAUGUUCCAUUUUAUGGGGGUGAUUUUGUGAA
rnacentral:misc_RNA from 1 species